GCGGCGCCGGUGUCUUUGGCGGCGGUGGCUUCGGCGGCGGAGGCAACGGCGGUGGCUUCGGCGGCGGAGGCAGCGGCGGAGACCGCAGAGGCGUAGGCUGCUCACACGGACAGCCCGGCAGUGGACCUUACGGCGGCGCAGGAGGCAGUGGAGGAGGAACUAACUGCCAUGAAACGCAAUUCGCCGGGGGGAGCGCGAACGCGUAUCCAUCUGGAGGGGCUCCAGGAGCUCCGGCGGGUUACCCAGGAGCUGCGGGAGCGCCUGGAAAAUAGGGAUCCCGGACCGUAGUCCGGUAGCGUUCCGCAGUCGCACUACACAGUGUUGACGGGGUUUCCGGCGUCCGUGCAUGAUUUAAGACAGAACACCUUCGCCGUCAGCGGGGCCAUGCGGGAGGAUCCUUGGCAAGAUGAGAUCACUGGAGAUGGUAGACUGUGCCCUCUGCUACCUUUUUGCGCCACGGAACUCCGUCGGUGCACUUGGUUUGGUGUGGUUGAUCUGUUGGACUAACGCUAUGAAUGGUAAACAUUGAGUUUGCGUCCCACGGAAGCAUUAUUGCAUGCUUUGUCAGCCCUUGUAUUCCGGCGAAAAUAUAAGAGACUCAAAAUGGA